rnacentral:rRNA from 1 species
GAGUUUGAUCAUGGCUCAGGAUGAACGCUAGCGGGAGGCCUAACACAUGCAAGCCGAGCGGGAUUUGUUGGUUAGCUUGCUAACUAAUAAUGAGAGCGGCGUACGGGUGCGUAACACGUGUGCAACCUGCCUUUAUCUGGGGGAUAGCCUUUCGAAAGGAAGAUUAAUACCCCAUAAUAUAUUAAUUGGCAUCAAUUGAUAUUGAAAGCUCCGGCGGAUAGAGAUGGGCACGCGUAAGAUUAGCUAGUUGGUGAGGUAACGGCUCACCAAGGCUGCGAUCUUUAGGGGGCCUGAGAGGGUGAUCCCCCACACUGGUACUGAGACACGGACCAGACUCCUACGGGAGGCAGCAGUGAGGAAUAUUGGACAAUGGGUGAGAGCCUGAUCCAGCCAUCCCGCGUGAAGGACUAAGGACCUAUGGUUUGUAAACUUCUUUUAUACAGGGAUAAACCUACUCUCGUGAGGGUAAGCUGAAGUACU